rnacentral:misc_RNA from 1 species
UGAGCAGGGAUGUGAGGUAAUCUCA